UCCUUUCCUUCCCCUCUCUCUUUUCCCUCACAUGCAGCUUCUUUUUAAUAUUAAUCUGCAAACAUAGGAGGAAAAGGUGGUAGCGAGAGGGAGUUUGCUCACAUCAUCGUCACCAAAAGGGCUCUGAAACAUGGGUUUUACCUUUUUUUUCAUCUUCUUCAGAAGACUGCGGUGGUGUUGUAGCCAGGAUGGAGCUGCUCAGUUAUAGAGACUUUGAUCUGUUAAGAUUUCAUUCAAUAUUUCUAUUGUCAAACACCAUAUGGAUUAGCAGAUACCAUCAUAAUAAAAGUAGGAUAGUAAAAUUUUAAAUGUAAAUGACAUAAAAACUGGACUGAUAAAUAAUAAAACUGUGAACUAUCAGAAUGAGUAUUUUAAAAUGUAGUGGACAGUAUAUGAUUAAAAGAAAAAGACUGCAUUCAGUACCAGUAAAUCAACACAUGUGUUCUUCUGCUGACUCUUCCUGUCUUCCUCUAUCAAUUUUCCCCUUCCUCCUCCCUUCCUCUGUUUAAGCAACAGUGGCUUAAAAUGGUAAGACUUCAUGUUUUUUCCUGCCUAUGUUUGUUUAUUUUUUUUAAGUCUGUAGGUGUGACUUCCCUGGAGGUCCAGUGGUUAAAACCCUACAUUUCCACUGCAUGGUGUACAGGUUCAAUUCCUGGUCUGUGAACUAAGAUUCUGCAUGUCACAGACUGUGGUCAAAUGAUUCCACAGAGCUUCUAUCUGCUAGAUAGGAUGCUGCUCAAUUUAUGAAUCAUUUAAUAAAGCCAAGAAGGUCUUUAUAUCUUACUUAGUCGACUUUUGUUGCUGUUAAAAGUUUAAAGGUGCCGAUGGGAUCCAAAGGCCACUGACUUUGGACAGUUUUGGCAAGGCAACAACUAGAAACACAGGUAUUGGUACCUACAACAUCUUUUUGUUCUCUUUUUCAUGAUUUCCAAGAGCCUGGGUUAAGUUCCUCUCAAAUCCAAGUUCUGCUCUCUCUGCACUGAGCUCCCAAUCUAAAUGACCUUCCAGUCCAGGGUUAAUUGGACUGCUGGGAGGCUCUAACCAAGCCCUAGUUCUCAGCCCUGGGUUAGUCCAUGCUCCCAGGGCAGAGCCUCAUGGGUCACCUUGAGCUGGCAGAUGGUUCCGUCUGGAACCUGAGCCUUCAGGCCUUGCCUAGCCUGCAUGUGCGGGGAUCUGCUGGUUGGUUCGGUUAUAGUCCCACUUUGGAGAUGUCUGGUGGUGUGCACCUACCUUUUCUUGGUCAGUCUGCAGUAACACCUCGUAUGACUGUGGACAUCACGAGUAAUCAAUUUCCUUAGUUACUGAUAUUUUCUGCUAAUGUGCACAUGAGAUAACAGUUCUAUCAUAACAGGCCUCUGGGAAGCCAAAACUGUACAAUGGACAGGCAUGGACUGAGUUCAUAAAAAAUGUUCAAGUACUCACCUGUGAGAUUCCCGAGCUAGGGGUGAAAUUCAUGGAAAGGACACUCCUGGCUACUCUUGACCACUGACAGCACUGCCAAGUCACAAGGCAUUAAACCUUAGAGGCACAUUGGACAACUGGUGAAGGUUCCACUUGACAUCUGAUUCUGCACAAAGUCUGAAGACCGCAAAAUCAAAUGACAAGGAAGAUAAAUAGCCUACCUGGAGACAGACUACAUCUCCCUAAGAAUCUGGGUCAGAACUAUUUCUUUUCAUUCCUCCUCCCUUUUCUGACUAUUCUUUUCCUAAUUCUUACACCAGAAACAUGUCAUGUUUAUUCUGUCUUUUACCUUAUUCUGACCUAGAAAGAUAAUUUCAUUGUUUACAUACCUCAUGGGCAUGCCUUAAGGCCAUUGGCAAGGUAGGACAUCCAGUCUCCAGAUGACGACUGGAUUAACCGCACUGCUGACCAUCGUAGUUUUGCCUGCUCUGAAGUUCUCCUUGAUUUCCAAAGCCUCAGUUUCUUUGGAAUCCACAGCUUCCUCUCUUCUCAGACUCCCUACCUCUGAGCACUCAUUUGCCUGCCUCUCCUUAGCACCCCAAACCCAGGGCACCUUGUGUCAAGGCUUUCUACAAACCUCAUGUUGGGUCUGUAGAACUUCAAAUUUUACUGGCCUCCAUGGCUGUCAUCUUCAUUUUUUUUAAAGCUUUAAAUGCAUGUUCACAGCUGACCAAAACAAAUGAUCACCCCAAGACCAGAGCUUCAGAAAAGGAAAAGGUAAGCGAAUGACCAACUUAAAGAAUGUGAACCUGACCCCGUGACCUGGCUGACCACAAACUGAGAACUCCUGGGGGUAGGGCUGACGCCUUAAAUUCUGAUCACAUCUCUUAGUUAAUCUGAGAGUCUGGUCAACAGUGGGUGGCAGGUUGGGAGUUGAGGGGGGAGGAUUGUUAAAAAACAACAGAACAGAACCAAAAUGAAGUUACUUACCCUCAGCCCUAUGUUGCCACACUGAGACAAUCACAGUUUGGGCUUCUCAUAAAUGAAUCUUAAACCAGUCCACAGGAAUCUCCUGAUCAGAGCUAGCAGGUAAUCUGCUAGAUAACCCCCCUGCCAUUCCCUAAAGGACAGUAACCCUGCAAUAACCAACCUGUGUUUUGUCUAGAGGAACUGCCUUCUUCCUCUGCUUGUAAACGGUCUUCACUUUGUACAGCUCCUCAAAGCUCCUUUUUAUUUGUUAGAGUCGAUGGUGUGAUGAUGAAUCAUCAAAUAAAGCCAGCAAGAUUUAAAAAGUUACUGCAAUGAAUUUUAUCAUUAACACUAAGAAUCCAUGAUGGGAGAAGUACUACUCAGUAAUAUGGGGUCGUGUUAGAAACAAAGAAUUUAAGUAAAACGUUUUUUUUUUUUUUAAUAGGCAUAUGGUUGCAGAAAAUAAUCUAGUCCCUUCUAAAUCAUUGUGAGUUGGAGAAAUAUCCAAAGGAUACUUCAGAAAGAACUUCUUAUGAUGGGUAAAAGUAAUAAAGAACAAUUUCACCUGGGAUUUUCUACUUUCAAAAGGAGAGACUGGCUUAUUUUUAAAGUUUCUAUCAAUCAGGCCACUUUUAAAUUAGACCUUACAGAUAAAGGAUUAUUUUAACAGUUCACUCAUUUUCUGAAUAAAUAACAUAUUAUCUAAAACAUACACACUAGUACUAUGGAAACUUACCAUUCUCAGGAAAGUUAGGAGUUUUAGGGACAUUGGUUCCUUAGAAACAGACUGUUCAACUUCCAUAAUUAAAAAGAAAUCCAACUCUGAGCUCUAUUUAUUAUAGAAAAAUUGAUUUAUAAUUAUAAGUGAAACUUGUAUUUCAUUAAACAGUUUUUCCAAAGAAUUGACUACUGUUCUAAGGGCCUUGUUUACUUAAACAAUUAAAUUAGCAUUUAAUGAGAAAGAAAAGUUGUAGCCAAUUAAAGACCAAAGUAAUAUAAACACUACAUAGCAAUUAAUUGAUAACUCGCUUACCAUGGGCUAUCUAACAAUUAACCAAGGAAACAUUUCUAGGA